rnacentral:rRNA from 1 species
UUAAGCGACUAAGCGUACACGGUGGAUGCCCUGGCAGUCAGAGGCGAUGAAGGGCGUGCUAAUCUGCGAUAAGCGCCGGUAAGGUGAUAUGAACCGUUAUAACCGGCGAUACCCGAAUGGGGAAACCCAGUGUGACUCGUCACACUAUCAUUAACUGAAUCCAUAGGUUAAUGAGGCGAACCGGGGGAACUGAAACAUCUAAGUACCCCGAGGAAAAGAAAUCAACCGAGAUUCCCCCAGUAGCGGCGAGCGAACGGGGAGGAGCCCAGAGCCUGAAUCAGCAUGUGUGUUAGUGGAAGCGUCUGGAAAGGCGCGCGAUACAGGGUGACAGCCCCGUACACAAAAGCGCAUGUGCUGUGAGCUCGAUGAGUAGGGCGGGACACGUGGUAUCCUGUCUGAAUAUGGGGGGACCAUCCUCCAAGGCUAAAUACUCCUGACUGACCGAUAGUGAACCAGUACCGUGAGGGAAAGGCGAAAAGAACCCCGGCGAGGGGAGUGAAAAAGAACCUGAAACCGUGUACGUACAAGCAGUGGGAGCACCCUUUUGGGUGUGACUGCGUACCUUUUGUAUAAUGGGUCAGCGACUUAUAUUCUGUAGCAAGGUUAACCGUAUAGGGGAGCCGUAGGGAAACCGAGUCUUAACCGGGCGUUAAGUUGCAGGGUAUAGACCCGAAACCCGGUGAUCUAGCCAUGGGCAGGUUGAAGGUUGGGUAACACUAACUGGAGGACCGAACCGACUAAUGUUGAAAAAUUAGCGGAUGACCUGUGGCUGGGGGUGAAAGGCCAAUCAAACCGGGAGAUAGCUGGUUCUCCCCGAAAGCUAUUUAGGUAGCGCCUCGUGAAUUCAUCUCCGGGGGUAGAGCACUGUUUCGGCUAGGGGGCCAUCCCGGCUUACCAACCCGAUGCAAACUGCGAAUACCGGAGAAUGUUAUCACGGGAGACACACGGCGGGUGCUAACGUCCGUCGUGAAGAGGGAAACAACCCAGACCGCCAGCUAAGGUCCCAAAGUCAUGGUUAAGUGGGAAACGAUGUGGGAAGGCCCAGACAGCCAGGAUGUUGGCUUAGAAGCAGCCAUCAUUUAAAGAAAGCGUAAUAGCUCACUGGUCGAGUCGGCCUGCGCGGAAGAUGUAACGGGGCUAAACCAUGCACCGAAGCUGCGGCAGCGACACUAUGUGUUGUUGGGUAGGGGAGCGUUCUGUAAGCCUGUGAAGGUGUGCUGUGAGGCAUGCUGGAGGUAUCAGAAGUGCGAAUGCUGACAUAAGUAACGAUAAAGCGGGUGAAAAGCCCGCUCGCCGGAAGACCAAGGGUUCCUGUCCAACGUUAAUCGGGGCAGGGUGAGUCGACCCCUAAGGCGAGGCCGAAAGGCGUAGUCGAUGGGAAACGGGUUAAUAUUCCCGUACUUGGUGUUACUGCGAAGGGGGGACGGAGAAGGCUAUGUUGGCCGGGCGACGGUUGUCCCGGUUUAAGCGUGUAGGUGUGUGUUCCAGGUAAAUCCGGUUCACUUUAACACUGAGGCGUGAUGACGAGGCACUACGGUGCUGAAGCAACAAAUGCCCUGCUUCCAGGAAAAGCCUCUAAGCAUCAGGUAACAUCAAAUCGUACCCCAAACCGACACAGGUGGUCAGGUAGAGAAUACCAAGGCGCUUGAGAGAACUCGGGUGAAGGAACUAGGCAAAAUGGUGCCGUAACUUCGGGAGAAGGCACGCUGACACGUAGGUGAAGUGAUUUACUCAUGGAGCUGAAGUCAGUCGAAGAUACCAGCUGGCUGCAACUGUUUAUUAAAAACACAGCACUGUGCAAACACGAAAGUGGACGUAUACGGUGUGACGCCUGCCCGGUGCCGGAAGGUUAAUUGAUGGGGUCAGCGCAAGCGAAGCUCCUGAUCGAAGCCCCGGUAAACGGCGGCCGUAACUAUAACGGUCCUAAGGUAGCGAAAUUCCUUGUCGGGUAAGUUCCGACCUGCACGAAUGGCGUAAUGAUGGCCAGGCUGUCUCCACCCGAGACUCAGUGAAAUUGAACUCGCUGUGAAGAUGCAGUGUACCCGCGGCAAGACGGAAAGACCCCGUGAACCUUUACUAUAGCUUGACACUGAACAUUGAGCCUUGAUGUGUAGGAUAGGUGGGAGGCUUUGAAGUGUGGACGCCAGUCUGCAUGGAGCCGACCUUGAAAUACCACCCUUUAAUGUUUGAUGUUCUAACGUGGACCCGUGAUCCGGGUUGCGGACAGUGUCUGGUGGGUAGUUUGACUGGGGCGGUCUCCUCCUAAAGAGUAACGGAGGAGCACGAAGGUUGGCUAAUCCUGGUCGGACAUCAGGAGGUUAGUGCAAUGGCAUAAGCCAGCUUGACUGCGAGCGUGACGGCGCGAGCAGGUGCGAAAGCAGGUCAUAGUGAUCCGGUGGUUCUGAAUGGAAGGGCCAUCGCUCAACGGAUAAAAGGUACUCCGGGGAUAACAGGCUGAUACCGCCCAAGAGUUCAUAUCGACGGCGGUGUUUGGCACCUCGAUGUCGGCUCAUCACAUCCUGGGGCUGAAGUAGGUCCCAAGGGUAUGGCUGUUCGCCAUUUAAAGUGGUACGCGAGCUGGGUUUAGAACGUCGUGAGACAGUUCGGUCCCUAUCUGCCGUGGGCGCUGGAGAACUGAGGGGGGCUGCUCCUAGUACGAGAGGACCGGAGUGGACGCAUCACUGGUGUUCGGGUUGUCAUGCCAAUGGCACUGCCCGGUAGCUAAAUGCGGAAGAGAUAAGUGCUGAAAGCAUCUAAGCACGAAACUUGCCCCGAGAUGAGUUCUCCCUGAGACUUAGAGUCUCCUGAAGGAACGUUGAAGACGACGACGUUGAUAGGCCGGGUGUGUAAGCGCAGCGAUGCGUUGAGCUAACCGGUACUAAUGAACCGUGAGGCUUAACCUU